UGCCCCUGUUCAUGCCUGUAUGUUGUGUGCCAUGGAAUAAUGGAAUAGGACCUCGGUUCUAUUUUUUGGUUUCGGGAAUCUGAGGUAAUGAUCAAUGGGGACAGGCGGGGGCAUUCGUAUUGCGACGUUAGAGGUGAAAUUCUUGGAUCGUCGCAAGACGGACCGAAGCGAAAGCAUUUGCCAAGUAUGUUCUCGUCGAUCAAGAACGAAAGUUAGAGGUUCGAAGGCGAUCAGAUACCGCCCUAGUUCUAACCAUAAACUAUGCCUGCCAGCGAUCCGCCGAAGUUCCUCCGAUGACUCGGCGGGCAGCUUCCGGGAAACCAGAGCUUUUGGGUUCCGGGGGAAGUAUGGUUGCAAAGCUGAAACUUAAAGGAAUUGACGGAAGGGCACCACCAGGAGUGGAGCCUGCGGCUUAAUUUGACUCAACACGGGAAAACUCCCCAGGCCCGGACACCGGAAGGAUUGACAGAUUGAGAGCUCUUUCUUGAUUCGGUGGGUGGUGGUGCAUGGCCGUUCUUAGUUGGUGGAGCGAUUUGUUUGGUUAAUUCCGAUAACGAACGAGACUCUAGCCUACUAACUAGGCGUACCCGGUAUCCACAAUCGUGCUACCGGCGAUCAAAUUUUUUUUUAGAGGGACAGGCGGCUUUUAGCCGCACGAGACUGAGCAAUAACAGGUCUGUGAUGCCCUUAGAUGUCCUGGGCCGCACGCGCGCUACACAGAAGGAAUCAGCGCGUUUUUCCCUUCAGAAAGGACCAGCUAUUAUAAAAGGGCUCUCCCCCUUAGAGAUAGGGGCCUGCGAGUGAAUACCACGGUCUGCCGUCAUCCCCCUCUGCCCGCCCU
rnacentral:rRNA from 1 species